rnacentral:rRNA from 1 species
GCUGGCGGCGUGGAUAAGUACAUGCAAGUCGAGCGAGAUUUUUUUCUGUAGCAAUACGGGGAAAAGUCUAGCGGCGAACGGGUGCGUAACACGUGGGCAACCUGCCAAGAAGUGGGGGAUAGCUCGCCGAAAGGCGAAUUAAUACCGCAUGUGAUCAGAGUGGACAUCCAUUCAAAAUCAAAGUCGGGGCAACCUGACGCUUCUUGAGGGGCCCGCGGCCUAUCAGCUAGUUGGUGCGGUAACGGCCCACCAAGGCUUAGACGGGUAGCUGGUCUGAGAGGACGACCAGCCACACUGGGACUGAGACACGGCCCAGACACCUACGGGUGGCAGCAGUCGAGAAUUUUUCUCAAUGGGGGAAACCCUGAAGGAGCGACGCCGCGUGGAGGAUGAAGGUCUUCGGAUUGUAAACUCCUGUCAUUGGGGAACAAUGCGUAAAUAUUAACUGUAUUUGCGUUGAUAGUACCCGAAGAGGAAGAGACGGCUAACUCUGUGCCAGCAGCCGCGGUAAUACAGAGGUCUCAAGCGUUGUUCGGAUUCAUUGGGCGUAAAGGGUGC